CGGUGAAGAAGAGAAUCUGACU
rnacentral:miRNA from 1 species